UACGUAGGGUGCGAGCGUUAAUCGGAAUUACUGGGCGUAAGCGUGCGCAGGCGGUUCGUUGUGUCCGUCGUGAAAGCCCCGGCUAACCUGGGAACUGCGAUGGAAACUAGCGAGCUGGAGUGUGGCAGAGGGGGGUGGAAUUCCGCGUGUAGCAGUGAAAUGCGUAGAGAUGCGGAGGAACACCGAUGGCGAAGGCAGCCCCCUGGGCUAACACUGCGCUCAGGCACGAAAGCGUGGGGAGCAAACAGG
rnacentral:rRNA from 1 species